rnacentral:rRNA from 1 species
UACGAAGGGUGCAAGCGUUACUCGGAAUUACUGGGCGUAAAGCGUGCGUAGGUGGUUUGUUAAGUCUGAUGUGAAAGCCCUGGGCUCAACCUGGGAAUUGCAUUGGAUACUGGCAGGCUAGAGUGCGGUAGAGGAUGGCGGAAUUCCCGGUGUAGCGGUGAAAUGCGUAGAUAUCGGAAGGAACACCAGUGGCGAAAGCGGCUUCCUGGUCCAGCACCGACGUUCAGGCACGAAAGCGUGGGGAGCAAACAGG